CCUACGGGAGGCAGCAGUGGGGAAUUUUGGACAAUGGGCGCAAGCCUGAUCCAGCCAUGCCGCGUGUGGGAAGAAGGCCUUCGGGUUGUAAACCACUUUUGUCAGGGAAGAAACGGCUUUUUCUAAUACAGAGAGCUAAUGACGGUACCUGAAGAAUAAGCACCGGCUAACUACGUGCCAGCAGCCGCGGUAAUACGUAGGGUGCAAGCGUUAAUCGGAAUUACUGGGCGUAAAGCGUGCGCAGGCGGCUUUGCAAGACAGAUGUGAAAUCCCCGGGCUCAACCUGGGAACUGCAUUUGUGACUGCAUGGCUAGAGUACGGUAGAGGGGGAUGGAAUUCCGCGUGUAGCAGUGAAAUGCGUAGAUAUGCGGAGGAACACCGAUGGCGAAGGCAAUCCCCUGGACCUGUACUGACGCUCAUGCACGAAAGCGUGGGGAGCAAACAGGAUUAGAUACCCUGGUAGUCCACGCCCUAAACGAUGUCAACUGGUUGUUGGACGGCUUGCUGUUCAGUAACGAAGCUAAACGCGUGAAGUUGACCGCCGUGGGUAGGUACGGUUCCGGCGAAGGUUAGGUUAAACGUAACGAAGUUAGAGUUAGACGGACGUUGAGACGNGCCGACGGACGACGACGAGGGAGGAGGAG
rnacentral:rRNA from 1 species